rnacentral:rRNA from 1 species
CACGUAGGGCGCGAGCGUUGUCCGGAAUUAUUGGGCGUAAAGAGCUCGUAGGCGGUUCGGUAAGUCAGGUGUGAAAUCUCCACGCUCAACGUGGAGGGGCCACCUGAUACUGCCGUGACUCGAGUCCGGUAGGGGAGUGUGGAAUUCCCGGUGUAGCGGUGAAAUGCGCAGAUAUCGGGAGGAACACCAGUGGCGAAGGCGACUACCUGGCCUGUUCUUGACGCUGAGGCGCGAAAGCUAGGGGAGCAAACGGG